CAGCGUAAAGGACACACGAGGGUAUUAACAAAAGUUCAAAGUCACAAGAUGCUAUAUGCGUGGAAUACGGUGUUGGGUGUAUUACUUCGAUCCCAGAAAUCGAAAUCAAAUUACUCGUUAUUUCAGCAGAGUGGAAUGACGCGUUGUUAUGAUAACCUAGAUUCGUCACCAGUAACGACUUUACAAAAGUUGC